CGGGUGUAGCGCAGUUGGUAGCGCGCAUGGUUCGGGACCAUGAGGCCGUGGGUUCGACUCCCGCCACUCGGACCA
rnacentral:tRNA from 1 species